rnacentral:rRNA from 1 species
CAAUAGCGUAUAUUAAAGUUGUUGCAGUUAGAACGCUCGUAGUCGGAUUUCGGGGCGGGCCGACCGGUCUGCCGAUGGGUACGCACUGGUCGGCGCGUCCUUCCUUCCGGAGACCGUGCCUACUCUUAACUGAGCGGGGGCGGGAGACGGAUCGUUUACUUUGAAAAAAUCAGAGUGUUUCAAGCAGGCAGCUCGCUCUUGCAUGGAUUAGCAUGGGAUAAUGAAAUAGGACUUUGGUGCUAUUUUGUUGGUUUCGAACACCGAAGUAAUGAUUAACAGGGACAGUCGGGGGCACUCGUAUUCCGCCGAGAGAGGUGAAAUUCUCAGACCAGCGGAAGACGAACUACUGCGAAAGCAUUUGCCAGGGAUGUUUUCACUGA